rnacentral:rRNA from 1 species
AGCCCGGUACGAUGUCGACUUGGAGGUUGUGCCCUUGAGGCGUGGCUUCCGGAGCUAACGCGUUAAGUCGACCGCCUGGGGAGUACGGCCGCAAGGUUAAAACUCAAAUGAAUUGAUGGGGGCCCGCACAAGCGGUGGAGCAUGUGGUUUAAUUCGAUGCAACGCGAAGAACCUUACCUGGUCUUGACAUCCACGGAAGUUUUCAGAGAUGAGAAUGUGCCUUCGGGAACCGUGAGACAGGUGCUGCAUGGCUGUCGACAGCUCGUGUUGUGAAAUGUUGGGUUAAGUCCCGCAACGAGCGCAACCCUUAUCCUUUGUUGCCAGCGGUCCGGCCGGGAACUCAAAGGAGACUGCCAGUGAUAAACUGGAGGAAGGUGGGGAUGACGUCAAGUCAUCAUGGCCCUUACGACCAGGGCUACACACGUGCUACAAUGGCGCAUACAAAGAGAAGCGACCUCGCGAGAGCAAGCGGACCUCAUAAAGUGCGUCGUAGUCCGGAUUGGAGUCUGCAACUCGACUCCAUGAAGUCGGAAUCGCUAGUAAUCGUGGAUCAGAAUGCCACGGUGAAUACGUUCCCGGGCCUUGUACACACCGCCCGUCACACCAUGGGAGUGGGUUGCAAAAGAAGUAGGUAGCUUAACCUUCGGGAGGGCGCUUACCACUUUGUGAUUCAUGACUGGGGUGAAGUCGUAAAAGGGGUAUAACAGUUGG